rnacentral:sRNA from 1 species
UUGCUAUCUGCGAUAUGGAAGAUUCGAACCUGCCGCAGGUUCGGAUCUCACGUAGUGAGACAACGGAGCCGCUUGCGGCGACGGCCCGAAGGGCGAGCAAAGCGAGUCAUCCUGCACGACCCACCA